CAUGGCGAGUUUGAUCCUGGCUCAGAGCGAACGCUGGCGGCGUACUUAACACAUGCAAGUCGAACGAGGAUCGUCGGGUUAGCAAUAAUUCGGCGGUCCGAGUGGCGUACGGGUGAGUAACACGUGGGUGACCUGCCCUCGAGACCGGGAUACCCUCUCGAAAGGGAGGCUAAUACUGGAUACGUUCCUCGGGUCGCCAGACCUGGGGAGGAAAGGUGGCGCAAGCUACCGCUCUUGGAGGGGCUCGCGGCCUAUCAGCUAGUUGGUGAGGUAACGGCUCACCAAGGCGAUGACGGGUAGCUGGUCUGAGAGGACGACCAGCCACACGGGAACUGAGACACGGUCCCGACUCCUACGGGAGGCAGCAGUGGGGAAUUUUCCGCAAUGGGCGAAAGCCUGACG
rnacentral:rRNA from 1 species